GGCCUGCGCGGAAGAUGUAACGGGGCUAAACCAUGCACCGAAGCUGCGGCAGCGACACUCAGGUGUUGUUGGGUAGGGGAGCGUUCUGUAAGCCUGUGAAGGUGUGUCGUGAGGCAUGCUGGAGGUAUCAGAAGUGCGAAUGCUGACAUAAGUAACGAUAAAGCGGGUGAAAAGCCCGCUCGCCGGAAGACCAAGGGUUCCUGUCCAACGUUAAUCGGGGCAGGGUGAGUCGACCCCUAAGGCGAGGCCGAAAGGCGUAGUCGAUGGGAAACGGGUUAAUAUUCCCGUACUUGGUGUUACUGCGAAGGGGGGACGGAGAAGGCUAUGUUGGCCGGGCGACGGUUGUCCCGGUUUAAGCGUGUAGGUGUGUGUUCCAGGUAAAUCCGGUUCACUUUAACACUGAGGCGUGACGACGAGGCACUACGGUGCUGAAGCAACAAAUGCCCUGCUUCCAGGAAAAGCCUCUAAGCAUCAGGUAACAUCAAAUCGUACCCCAAACCGACACAGGUGGUCAGGUAGAGAAUACCAAGGCGCUUGAGAGAACUCGGGUGAAGGAACUAGGCAAAAUGGUGCCGUAACUUCGGGAGAAGGCACGCUGACACGUAGGUGAAGUGAUUUACUCAUGGAGCUGAAGUCAGUCGAAGAUACCAGCUGGCUGCAACUGUUUAUUAAAAACACAGCACUGUGCAAACACGAAAGUGGACGUAUACGGUGUGACGCCUGCCCGGU
rnacentral:rRNA from 1 species